rnacentral:rRNA from 1 species
UACGGAGGGUGCAAGCGUUAUCCGGAUUCACUGGGUUUAAAGGGUGCGUAGGCGGCUAAAUAAGUCAGUGGUGAAAGCUUACAGCUUAACUGUGAAACUGCCAUUGAAACUGCUUAGCUUGAAUCUGGUUGAAGUGGGCGGAAUACAUCAUGUAGCGGUGAAAUGCUUAGAUAUGAUGUAGAACACCGAUUGCGAAGGCAACUCACUAAGCCAACAUUGACGCUGAGGCACGAAAGCGUGGGGAGCGAACAGG